GACGAACGCUGGCGGCGUGCUUAACACAUGCAAGUCGAACGGAAAGGCCCUGCUUUUGUGAGGUGCUCGAGUGCGAAAGGGGGGAUAAAACGGGGAGUAACCUCCCCUGGCUUUUGGGAUAAUUUCGGGAAACGGGGGUAAUACCCGGAAAGGGGUUCCGCCGCCAGGGUGGGGGUGGGAAGGUUCGGCGGUUGGGGAUUGACUCGCGGCUUAUCAGCUUGUUGGUGGGGUUGUGGCUUACCAAGGCUUUGACGGGUAGCCGGCCUGAGAGGGUGACCGGCCACAUUGGGACUGAGAUACGGCCCAGACUCCUACGGGAGGCAGCAGUGGGGAAUAUUGCACAAUGGGCGGAAGCCUGAUGCAGCAACGCCGCGUGCGGGAUGACGGCCUUCGGGUUGUAAACCGCUUUCGCCUGUGACGAAGCGUGAGUGACGGUAAUGGGUAAAGAAGCACCGGCUAACUACGUG
rnacentral:rRNA from 1 species